rnacentral:sRNA from 1 species
UUUGUAAGUCAAAAUCCUAUCACAAUAGAACUUCAAGCAAAUAUAGUAUAGUUGUUUGCAACUUUAGUAUUUGUAUUGAGUUUAUUAGAGUGUGGGCUUCCAACAUAAAACCAAUUGGCAAUAGAUGGAAAGGCUCAUAUCUUAUAUAUAUCACUUAAGAUCCUACUCAACUUUCGAUGUGGGACAUUGUCCCUAAUACGCCCCCUCGAGAUGAUGGUUCUUCUAGCCAUUGAUCUCGAUAUGUUUGGGCAUGGAUCGGCGGGCCAAGUAUUGGGCCGGACCGAUGUGGAUCGGGUUGAGUAUGUGCGGAUCAGGCUCUGAUACCAUAUUAGAGUGUGGGUUUCCAACCUAAAACCAAUUGGCAAUAGGUGAAGAGGCCCAUAUCUUAUAUAUACCACUUAAGAUCUUAUUCAACUUCCGAUGUGGGAUAUUAUCCCUAAUACGCCCCCUCGAGAUGAUGGUUCUUCUAGCCAUUGAUCUCGAUAUGUUUGGGCAUGGAUCGGCGGGCCAAGUAUUGGGCCGGACCGAUGUGGAUCGGGUUGAGUAUGUGCGGAUCGGGGUCUGAUACCAUAUCAGACUGUGGGCUUCCAACGUAAAACUAAUUGGCAAUAGGUGGAGAGGCUCAUAUCUUAUAUAUACCACUUAAGAUCCUACUCAACUUCCGAUGUGGGACAUUGUCCCUAAUAGAGUUUUCAAAAAUUUAACUUCAUUAAGUAAUCAAUUCAU